AACAAGCACUGGUAAAUGGUGUGGUGAACACAGCGAUGGCUUCAUCAGUUCUGGACAUACCAUUACCUCCAGGUUCCACUCUGGGAUACAUAACAAUUACAGAGGAAUACAAUUAAUUAUCAAGGCGGGACACUUUAAUGCCUCACGGAUGACGAGCCUUUCAGCUGAAGCAUUUACAUACAAGUUUAUUUCCUCCCCAAACUAUCCAUUUUUCUACCAAGCAAUAUUGAGACUACGUGGAAGAUCGAUGCAGGUAAAUCCUAUCGGGU